rnacentral:rRNA from 1 species
UACGUAGGGGGCUAGCGUUGUCCGGAAUCAUUGGGCGUAAAGCGCGUGUAGGCGGCCAGUUAGGUCCGUUGUGAAAACUCGAGGCUCAACCUCGAGACGCCGAUGGAAACCAACUGGCUAGAGUCCGGAAGAGGAGAGUGGAAUUCCUGGUGUAGCGGUGAAAUGCGCAGAUAUCAGGAAGAACACCCGUGGCGAAAGCGGCUCUCUGGAACGGUACUGACGCUGAGACGCGAAAGCGUGGGGAGCGAACAGG